UCAUGCAAGUCGAGCGAACUGAUUAGAAGCUUGCUUCUAUGACGUUAGCGGCGGACGGGUGAGUAACACGUGGGCAACCUGCCUGUAAGACUGGGAUAACUUCGGGAAACCGAAGCUAAUACCGGAUAGGAUCUUCUCCUUCAUGGGAGAUGAUUGAAAGAUGGUUUCGGCUAUCACUUACAGAUGGGCCCGCGGUGCAUUAGCUAGUUGGUGAGGUAACGGCUCACCAAGGCAACGAUGCAUAGCCGACCUGAGAGGGUGAUCGGCCACACUGGGACUGAGACACGGCCCAGACUCCUACGGGAGGCAGCAGUAGGGAAUCUUCCGCAAUGGACGAAAGUCUGACGGAGCAACGCCGCGUGAGUGAUGAAGGCUUUCGGGUCGUAAAACUCUGUUGUUAGGGAAGAACAAGUACGAGAGUAACUGCUCGUACCUUGACGGUACCUAACCAGAAAGCCACGGCUAACUACGUGCCAGCAGCCGCGGUAAUACGUAGGUGGCAAGCGUUAUCCGGAAUUAUUGGGCGUAAAGCGCGCGCAGGCGGUUUCUUAAGUCUGAUGUGAAAGCCCACGGCUCAACCGUGGAGGGUCAUUGGAAACUGGGGAACUUGAGUGCAGAAGAGAAAAGCGGAAUUCCACGUGUAGCGGUGAAAUGCGUAGAGAUGUGGAGGAACACCAGUGGCGAAGGCGGCUUUUUGGUCUGUAACUGACGCUGAGGCGCGAAAGCGUGGGGAGCAAACAGGAUUAGAUA
rnacentral:rRNA from 2 species